GUUUCCGCGGUGUAGUGGUUAUCACGUGCGCCUCACAUGCGCAAGGUCCCUGGUUCGAUUCCGGGCGGAAACA
rfam:Ixodes scapularis strain Wikel colony gcontig_1107729009180, whole genome shotgun sequence.